CUUUUUACUCUCCAAACUUAUCUUUAACACCCCUACUCGGCUCCAGAGGGUACCUAAGGGGUGUUAGGACUCUGAGGAUCAGAUUUGAAGCUCCUCUUUUCUCUCUCUAGGGUUUUCUUCUCCCUCUAAGAGGAAAGCUAGGAGUUGGAGCUGAUUUCUUUCCCUUUUUUUGAAGGUUGCUGAUUUAGAGAAUUUAGAGAAGCCUUCUUCUUAGUAGAUGAAGAGUUUGCUGAUGCUUCAUCAACCUUAAUCCUAGGAUUAUCUAUGUUGAAGUUUGGGAAAAUUGGCAAGGGAGUUGCAGCCGCAGUAGAAACUAGUUUUGGCUGGGGAUUACUCCACUCGAAUCAAGGGGAAAACUGAAAUUAAGUUUUGAACAGCAGCUUGGAAGCUCACGUGGUGCUGAAUACUUGGCAGUGGUGGGUUGGAUUGAGGAUAUUUCAAUCAGCAGGAAGCCGAGAUACAACAGGUUUCUGACAAAUUGUCGAAUGGUUCUCAGCUAAUAUUCGAGAGCUUUCGAAGGUUUAAUUUGAUGUAACAACUUGAACCAAAUCAAGGAUUCAAGCUACAACCUUGUAUAAGCAGGUUUGAGAACCGAGCGAGUUGAAUUUCAGGACUCCUUUGGGCUGGUUCGAGCUUAGUACUAAGUACUUUUACCUAGAUUGAAGAGUAGUUUCGACUGUAUCUCAAUCUAGGGGACUUGAAGACUUCAGAUUCCCCGAGCUUAUUAAUUCGACAAGAGGCGCCGUAUAUCGGUGGGUCGGACCUUCCCAAAAUUGGUGAAUUUUCCUCUAUGUCUUCUUUGACAUUGAGUCGAAGUUACUACAUAUUUAUGUGAAUAUAUGUAUAGUUCAAAGCAUUGAGACAUGCAUUAAUGUGUAGAUCAUAAUGGAAGAUUCAUGACUCUUCCACCCUACAUGGUCACAUGUUAAAGUACUAUGUAUUCAUGAUACUAGCAGCUUGCGUAUACAAUUUAGCUUGAUGUUUUCCAAAAGGAUAUAAUGGUAGAUUCGUGAGUGUACCAUUUAGUUCAGUUGAACAGCAAAGGGAAUGAUGUACUUAGAAUCAACUACGCAAUUUUUAUGUGGCAAGUAUAUUGGCUAAACUUUGAAUAUAUCAUGUAGACGCAUUUGCUUGAGUAUACAUUCAUAACUGUAGAAUGAAUGGUAUA